UAUUGGACAAUGGGGGCAACCCUGAUCCAGCAAUGCCGCGUGAGUGAUGAAGGCCUUAGGGUUGUAAAGCUCUUUUACCCGGGAUGAUAAUGACAGUACCCGUAUAAGAAGCCCCGGCAAACUUCGUGCCAGCAGCCGCGGUAAUACGAAGGGGGCUAGCGUUGUUCGGAAUUACUGGGCGUAAAGCGCGCGUAGGCGGUGGUCCAUGUCAGAGGUGAAAGCCUGGAGCUCAACUCCAGAAUUGCCUUUGAAACGGGAUCGCUAGAGUCCGAGAGAGGAUGGCGGAAUUCCUAGUGUAGAGGUGAAAUUCGUAGAUAUUAGGAAGAACACCGGUGGCGAAGGCGGCCAUCUGGCUCGGUACUGACGCUCAGGCGCGAAAGCGUGGGGAGC
rnacentral:rRNA from 1 species